rnacentral:rRNA from 1 species
CACCGCGGUUACACGAGCGGGCCCAAAUUGACAGCCAUCGGCGUAAAGUGUGGCCAGUAAACACACAAAACUAAAGCCAAACACUCUCCAAGCUGUAGUACGCACUUGAGAAGAAGAGGCCCCCCAACGAAAGUAGCUUUAAUUUUUAUGACCCACGUGAGCUAAGACA